UACGAAGGGGGCUAGCGUUGCUCGGAAUGACUGGGCGUAAAGGGCGCGUAGGCGGUUCAUACAGUCAGAUGUGAAAUUCCUGGGCUCAACCUGGGGGCUGCAUUUGAUACGUGUGGACUAGAGUGGGGAAGAGGGGUCGUGGAAUUCCCAGUGUAGAGGUGAAAUUCGUAGAUAUUGGGAAGAACACCGGUGGCGAAGGCGGCGACCUGGUCCUUGACUGACGCUGAGGCGCGAAAGCGUGGGGAGCAAACAGGA
rnacentral:rRNA from 1 species